rnacentral:rRNA from 1 species
GACAGAGGAUGCAAGCGUUAUCCGGAAUGAUUGGGCGUAAAGCGUCUGUAGGUGGCUUUUUAAGUCUGCCGUCAAAUCCCAGGGCUUAACCCUGGACAGGCGGUGGAAACUACCAAGCUGGAGUACGGUAGGGGCAGAGGGAAUUUCCGGUGGAGCGGUGAAAUGCGUAGAGAUCGGAAAGAACACCGGUGGCGAGGGCGCUCUGCUAGGCCGUAACUGACACUGAGGGACGAAAGCUAGGGGAGCGAAUGGG